rnacentral:rRNA from 1 species
GUGGGGAAUUUUGGACAAUGGGGGCAACCCUGAUCCAGCAAUGCCGCGUGCAGGAAGAAGGCCUUCGGGUUGUAAACUGCUUUUGUACGGAACGAAAAGGCUCUGGUUAAUACCUGGGGCACAUGACGGUACCGUAAGAAUAAGCACCGGCUAACUACGUGCCUGCAGCCGCGGUAAUACGUAGGGUGCAAGCGUUAAUCGGAAUUACUGGGCGUAAAGCGUGCGCAGGCGGUGCUGUAAGACAGGCGUGAAAUCCCCGGGCUUAACCUGGGAAUGGCGCUUGGGACUGCAGUGCUGGAGUGUGGCAGAGGGGGAUGGAAUUCCGCGUGUAGCAGUGAAAUGCGUAGAUAUGCGGAGGAACACCGAUGGCGAAGGCAAUCCCCUGGGCCUGCACUGACGCUCAUACACGAAAGCGUGGGGAGCAAACAGGAUUAGAAACCCCGGUAGUCC